rnacentral:misc_RNA from 1 species
UGCCCAAACCUAUCAUCACCUGGUUAAGAGAUGUAAAUGCUCCCCUAAUAUUCUUGGGGGCAAUUUCUGCAAUAUAUACAGGUACCACAUAAGAAAGAAGCCCAAUUCCACACCCCAGAGAAAAUCUUCCAAGAUCAAGCCAAAAGGCAUCCUUGGCAAAUAUAAUUGCGAGCCAUCCCAGGAUGCAGAAUGUUUCUGAAACCACCAUAGCACCUCUACGACCAAUUAUAUCAGCUAUCCGCCCACUUGCUACUGCACCUAUCAUUGCUCCAAUUGUUAAUAUUGAACCAAAAAUCGAAUACUCAGCCAUAUUAAGGCCAAGGUCAUCCACAAUGCCAGUCUCAGCUGGGGAUGAAUAACCCACCUGC